rnacentral:rRNA from 1 species
AGAGUUUGAUCAUGGCUCAGAACGAACGCUGGCGGCAUGCCUAACACAUGCAAGUCGAACGGGAUCCGGACUUCGGUUCGGUGAGAGUGGCGGACGGGUGAGUAACGCGUGGGAACCUGCCCAGUGGUGGGGGAUAACUGCGGGAAACUGCAGCUAAUACCGCAUGAGCCCGAGAGGGGAAAGAUUUAUCGCCAUUGGAGGGGCCCGCGUUCGAUUAGGUAGUUGGUGAGGUAAUGGCUCACCAAGCCGACGAUCGAUAGCUGGUCUGAGAGGAUGAUCAGCCACACUGGGACUGAGAUACGGCCCAGACUCCUACGGGAGGCAGCAGUGGGGAAUAUUGGACAAUGGGGGCAACCCUGAUCCAGCAAUGCCGCGUGAGUGAUGAAGGCCUUCGGGUUGUAAAGCUCUUUUGGCGGGGACGAUGAUGACGGUACCCGCAGAAUAAGCCCCGGCUAACUUCGUGCCAGCAGCGGCGGUAAUAC